rnacentral:rRNA from 1 species
UGGGUGCUCGAGUGGCGAACGGGUGAGUAACACGUGAGUAACCUGCCCUUGACUUUGGGAUAACUUCAGGAAACUGGGGCUAAUACCGGAUAGGAGCUCCUGCUGCAUGGUGGGGGUUGGAAAGUUUCGGCGGUUGGGGAUGGACUCGCGGCUUAUCAGCUUGUUGGUGGGGUAGUGGCUUACCAAGGCUUUGACGGGUAGCCGGCCUGAGAGGGUGACCGGCCACAUUGGGACUGAGAUACGGCCCAG